rnacentral:tRNA from 3 species
GGCGGAUGUAGCCAAGUGGAUCAAGGCAGUGGAUUGUGAAUCUACCAUGCGCGGGUUCAAUUCCCGUCGUUCGCC